rnacentral:rRNA from 1 species
AACGAACGCUGGCGGCAUGCCUAACACAUGCAAGUCGAACGAGUGCCUUCGGGUGCUAGUGGCGCACGGGUGCGUAACGCGUGGGAAUCUGCCCUUUGGUCUGGGAUAACCGUUGGAAACGACGGCUAAUACCGGAUGAUGACGUAAGUCCAAAGAUUUAUCGCCAGAGGAUGAGCCCGCGUAGGAUUAGCUAGUUGGUGGGGUAAAGGCCUACCAAGGCGACGAUCCUUAGCUGGUCUGAGAGGAUGAUCAGCCACACUGGGACUGAGACACGGCCCAGACUCCUACGGGAGGCAGCAGUGGGGAAUAUUGGACAAUGGGCGCAAGCCUGAUCCAGCAAUGCCGCGUGAGUGAUGAAGGCCUUAGGGUUGUAAAGCUCUUUUACCCGGGAUGAUAAUGACAGUACCGGGAGAAUAAGCUCCGGCUAACUCCGUGCCAGCAGCCGCCGUAA